AAAUUGAAGAGUUUGAUCAUGGCUCAGAUUGAACGCUGGCGGCAGGCCUAACACAUGCAAGUCGAGCGGUAGCACAGAGAGCUUGCUCUCGGGUGACGAGCGGCGGACGGGUGAGUAAUGUCUGGGAAACUGCCUGAUGGAGGGGGAUAACUACUGGAAACGGUAGCUAAUACCGCAUAAUGUCGCAAGACCAAAGUGGGGGACCUUCGGGCCUCAUGCCAUCAGAUGUGCCCAGAUGGGAUUAGCUAGUAGGUGGGGUAACGGCUCACCUAGGCGACGAUCCCUAGCUGGUCUGAGAGGAUGACCAGCCACACUGGAACUGAGACACGGUCCAGACUCCUACGGGAGGCAGCAGUGGGGAAUAUUGCACAAUGGGCGCAAGCCUGAUGCAGCCAUGCCGCGUGUGUGAAGAAGGCCUUCGGGUUGUAAAGCACUUUCAGCGGGGAGGAAGGCGAUAAGGUUAAUAACCUUGUCGAUUGACGUUACCCGCAGAAGAAGCACCGGCUAACUCCGUGCCAGCAGCCGCGGUAAUACGGAGGGUGCAAGCGUUAAUCGGAAUUACUGGGCGUAAAGCGCACGCAGGCGGUCUGUCAAGUCGGAUGUGAAAUCCCCGGGCUUAACCUGGGAACUGCAUUCGAAACUGGCAGGCUAGAGUCUUGUAGAGGGGGGUAGAAUUCCAGGUGUAGCGGUGAAAUGCGUAGAGAUCUGGAGGAAUACCGGUGGCGAAGGCGGCCCCCUGGACAAAGACUGACGCUCAGGUGCGAAAGCGUGGGGAGCAAACAGGAUUAGAUACCCUGGUAGUCCACGCCGUAAACGAUGUCGAUUUGGAGGUUGUGCCCUUGAGGCGUGGCUUCCGGAGCUAACGCGUUAAAUCGACCGCCUGGGGAGUACGGCCGCAAGGUUAAAACUCAAAUGAAUUGACGGGGGCCCGCACAAGCGGUGGAGCAUGUGGUUUAAUUCGAUGCAACGCGAAGAACCUUACCUGGUCUUGACAUCCACAGAACUUAGCAGAGAUGCUUUGGUGCCUUCGGGAACUGUGAGACAGGUGCUGCAUGGCUGUCGUCAGCUCGUGUUGUGAAAUGUUGGGUUAAGUCCCGCAACGAGCGCAACCCUUAUCCUUUGUUGCCAGCGGUUAGGCCGGGAACUCAAAGGAGACUGCCAGUGAUAAACUGGAGGAAGGUGGGGAUGACGUCAAGUCAUCAUGGCCCUUACGACCAGGGCUACACACGUGCUACAAUGGCAUAUACAAAGAGAAGCGACCUCGCGAGAGCAAGCGGACCUCAUAAAGUAUGUCGUAGUCCGGAUUGGAGUCUGCAACUCGACUCCAUGAAGUCGGAAUCGCUAGUAAUCGUAGAUCAGAAUGCUACGGUGAAUACGUUCCCGGGCCUUGUACACACCGCCCGUCACACCAUGGGAGUGGGUUGCAAAAGAAGUAGGUAGCUUAACCUUCGGGAGGGCGCUUACCACUUUGUGAUUCAUGACUGGGGUGAAGUCGUAACAAGGUAACCGUAGGGGAACCUGCGGUUGGAUCACCUCCUUACCUUAAAGAA
rnacentral:rRNA from 1 species